GGGGGCGACUCUGGUUUCGACGGGGGUAGAGAAGUUUAGAUUGCGUGCCGAGGUCCCCGAAGCCUCGUUAAAAAGCGGGAAACCUUUUAAACGCGAACGAUUACGAUUACGCGAUGGCCGCCUAGCCAAAACUAGGUAGCCCACCGGUGCCAGUUGCGCCUGCACGGCUGGCACUGGUGUCAUCUUAUGCAGGCUAGCCCGAUCUCAUGUCCGGGGGGUGAGGGCGAAACUCAACUGGACUGGCGCUGCGCGGCCCCUGUCAGUUGGCACCGCGUGGGGCGAGACUUGAAAACUGACUACGCACGUAGUAAUCUGGAUGGAACUACUUUCGGACGCGGGUUCGAAUCCCGCCGCCUCCACCA
rnacentral:tmRNA from 1 species